rnacentral:rRNA from 1 species
GUGCCAGCAGCCGCGGUAAUACGGAGGGUGCAAACGUUGCUCGGAAUCAUUGGGCGUAAAGCGUGCGUAGGCGGCGCGGCAAGUCGGAUGUGAAAGCCCUCGGCUCAACCGAGGAAGUGCAUUCGAAACUACCGUGCUCGAGUACCGGAGAGGGUGACGGAAUUCCCGGUGUAGAGGUGAAAUUCGUAGAUAUCGGGAGGAACACCUGUGGCGAAGGCGGUCACCUGGACGGAUACUGACGCUGAGGCACGAAAGCGUGGGGAGCAAACAGGAUUAGAAACCCUCGUAGUCC